CCUACGGGCGGCUGCAGUGGGGAAUUUUGGACAAUGGGGGCAACCCUGAUCCAGCCAUGCCGCGUGAGUGAAGAAGGCCUUCGGGUUGUAAAGCUCUUUCAGCCGGGAAGAAAUCGCACCAGCUAAUACCUGGUGUGGAUGACGGUACCGGAAUAAGAAGCACCGGCUAACUACGUGCCAGCAGCCGCGGUAAUACGUAGGGUGCGAGCGUGAAUCGGAAUUACUGGGCGUAAAUCGUACGCAGGCGGUGAAAUCCCCGGGCUCAACCUGGGAACUGCGUUUGUGACUGCAAGGCUAGAGUAUGGCAGAGGGGGGUGGAAUUCCACGUGUAGCAGUGAAAUGCGUAGAGAUGUGGAGGAACACCGAUGGCGAAGGCAGCCCCCUGGGCCAAUACUGACGCUCAUGCACGAAAGCGUGGGUAGCAAACAGGAUUAGAUACCCCUGUAGUC
rnacentral:rRNA from 1 species